UUCGCUAGUUUCGCUAGUUGAAUCAACCAAGUGUAAAAAGAGACACAAGCCAAGAUCUAUAGAUACUUUAAAACAUUUUUGUAUUAGUUUCGUUUGUUAGCAAUCAACAUGACAGUAAAGAUUCACAUAGUAUACUGAGGAGCAUGAGGAUAUGAACCCAAGUUCCGUAAGUUAAAGACGGAGCUUGAGCGAUCAUAUCCAGGACAGGUAGCAAUUACCGGAGAAGGAACACCAACUGUAACUGGCUUUUUUGAAGUUGAGGUUGCUGGAAAGCUUAUACACAGCAAGAAGAAUGGUGAUGGUUACGUUGAUUCAGGAUCGAAGAAGGACAAAAUAAAUAAUGCAAUAAAAUCUGCUUUGAAUUAGUCCUAAUUUAGAAUCUCAUAAAACAGACAUUGUGUUUUUGUAUGAGCCUUAGAAGUACCAAUAGGACUCUGAUGAUGAAGGAACCAAACUAAAUCUGAAGAAUGUUUUGUUCUGGAGAGAUGUACAGGUGUGCCUCUUGGUGAUUUCUGAUGUUUUCAUACAACACAUGUGACAUAUCCAGGGAUGUUUCCAAAUUAUACUAUUUAUUUUAAAUAAAUGUUUGCCUAUAUAACUUUUAACUAUUUUAAUGUGUUUGUUAUUUCAUUGCAUGUGUACAUUUUCAUAUCCAAAAACAUUUUGAUUUUCUAAAUAUCUUUCCUGUUGAAAAGUUUUAAUGAGAUCUUCACAUUAAUAUUCCUUUAAAAAGUACUGUAAAUUAAUAAAUGGACGAACAAAUAGAAGGUUUUUUAAACCUUCCAGAAACCGAAACCAGUUUAGAGGCAACAAAUACGACCUGAUAUAUUCUAUAAUAUGUGAUAUCCUUUGGUGAAUAAAACAAAAACUAGUUA